UGAACCUGUGCAAAUAAAACACCAAGCACUGUGGACAAAAAUUUACAAACAGGUGCAAAAAAAAAUCCUCUUUUGCAAACCAGAACUCGCUGUUCAGUAUCAGUUUUGAUGCAGAUAAGAAGGAACAUG
ensembl:snoRNA